ACACAUAAACAAUGUAUCUGAACAUUUUAAUACAAGUAUUUCAAAAGACAAAAUAUGGUAGAUGAAUUUAAAAACUUGUACAUUUAUAUGGUUUGUAAGAUUUUCAUUACUUCUGAAGCGAUAGUUGAUACAAACUUUAAUGCAAGUACUUAUAUUUUUUAAUUAAACUUUACAAUAAACGCCCAAUUAUCCAGUUACGUUCCGACAGUUUCCACUAAGAAGUUUAUAACGCUAUAAAUUCCAGUGAAUCUUAUCUUUUGAGUAUUUUUAAAUUCAGAAAUAACUAAUAUCCACAUCAUUUAAAAAGGAUAAAUUAUUAAAAUGUAAUGUAAUUUUUAACAUGUGAUAAAUUAGAAGCUCAACAAAAUAUAUAUUUUUAAAGUUUCUAUAUAUCUUGUCUGUUACAGGUGAUAAUAGUUAAAGCCUCCUGAUAUUUCAAUUCAACCCCUUCUUUUCUAUGUGUUUCAUAAAUGCAGUGCCAGCAUAGUAUAAUUCAGAAAACCUGCUUUUUCUAGCAAUUUUCAGACAGCAUUAUGCUCUAAUUUGACUCUACCAACAAUUAUCUGAGGAUAUCAUAUCAACCCGGUAUUUGUAUUGUUUUAUUAUCUUCACUCUUAAUUAUAGGCAUCAGCUACAGUAUACAUGUGUACACGUCUAAAAUACGAAUCUAAAUAAUGUGGAAUCAUCAUUUGUCGUGGGGCACCGAUGUUCAUGCCUUUUGUGGGUAACCCUUGUCCACGAACUUCAAUCCCCUCGAAAGUAUAUACAAGCAUUUGUUGACAACUAUUUAAAUUAUCACGAGUACAAUACCAUCGAAAUUACGUCUUCACAAACCAGAAAAAAAUUGAGUAUUCACAAACAUCGACCCCAUCGAUUAAAAAAAAAAUCCACAGUAUAUAAUUUGAUGUGAAAUAGUAGUUUACAUUAUUUCAGUUUUUUUUAUUCAGAAAGGUGGAGUUACAUUUUACCUGAACAUUGUAAAACAUUUUUAACACCAGCUGAUUAUUAACAUGUACAUGGAUGAUUAUUUUGUCCAUUUUUUUUAAUAUGAUGCAAACAAAAAUAUGUUGUUUAUUUUUAAUGUGAAAACAUUUCAAAUCUAAUGUGCAUUAUGUAUCAUUAAGAUGAUCUUCCAAUACCAUUGAUACCAUAGUGACAUAGAUUGUCGUUUAUUUUUUCUUCUUAAUAAACUGAUUUUUAUGUUUUCUCUAUGAUUACAGCAUGUAUUAAAUGAACAAAGUUUGCUUGUAGAGUUCAUUUACGUACAUGCAUUUUUAUUUUUAUUUUUUAUUAAAUCAAAUAUGUUUCAAAUAUCUUCAACUUAAUUAUGCUUGUUGAUUUUUAUACAAUUGCAAAGAAAUUGAAAUUGUUCCAUUUCUUGUUUAUACAUUCAAAUGUAAUUACCUUGUUUCAUAGUUGUAUUGUGAUGCCUUUUCAUUUAUAAACCACUGUAAUAAAAAAAAAUUGAAACCAUUAC
rnacentral:sRNA from 1 species